rnacentral:rRNA from 1 species
AACGUACGCCUGGCGGCACGCCUAACACAUGCAAGUCGAACGAAGUAGCAAUACUUAGUGGCAGACGGGUGAGUAACAUGUAGGUAUCUGCCCUUUGGCCUGGAAUAACACGAGGAAACUUGUGCUAAUACUGGAUAAGUCUUUACGGAGAAAGCUUUAUGCACCAUUGGAUGAGCCUGCACUUGAUUAGUUUGUUGGUGGGGUAAUGGCCUACCAAGACUGUGAUCAAUAGCUGAUUUGAGAGGAUGAUCAGCCACAUUGGGACUGAGACACGGCCCAAACUCCUACGGGAGGCAGCAGUGGGGAAUCUUGCACAAUGGAGGAAACUCUGAUGCAGCGAUGCCGCGUGAGUGAAGAAGGCCCUUGGGUUGUAAAGCUCUUUCGUCGGGGAAGAAAAUGACUGUACCCGAAUAAGAAGGUCCGGCUAACUUCGUGCCAGCAGCCGCGGUAAUACGAAGGGACCUAGCGUAGUUCGGAAUUACUGGGCUUAAAGAGUUCGUAGGUGGUUGAAAAAGUUAGUGGUGAAAUCCCAGAGCUUAACUCUGGAACUGCCAUUAAAACUUUUCAGCUAGAGUAUGAUAGAGGAAAGCAGAAUUUCUAGUGUAGAGGUGAAAUUCGUAGAUAUUAGAAAGAAUACCAAUUGCGAAGGCAGCUUUCUGGAUCAUUACUGACACUGAGGAACGAAAGCAUGGGUAGCGAAGAGGAUUAGAUACCCUCGUAGUCCAUGCCGUAAACGAUGUGUGUUAGACGUUGGAAAUUUAUUUUCAGUGUCGCAGGGAAACCGAUAAACACACCGCCUGGGGAGUACGACCGCAAGGUUAAAACUCAAAUGAAUUGACGGGGACCCGCACAAGUAGUGGAGCAUGUGGUUUAAUUCGAAGAUACGCGCAGAACCUUACCAACACUUGACAUGUUCGUCGCGACUCUAAGAGAUUAGAGUUUUCGGUUCGGCCGGACGAAACACAGGUGCUGCAUGGCUGUCGUCAGCUCGUGUCGUGAGAUGUUGGGUUAAGUCCCGCAACGAGCGCAACCCUCACUUUUAGUUGCCAUCAUUAAGUUGGGCACUCUGAAAGAACUGCCAGUGAUAAGCUGGAGGAAGGUGGGGAUGACGUCAAGUCCUCAUGGCCCUUACGUGUUGGGCUACACACGUGCUACAAUGGUAUCUACAACAGGAAGCAAGACUGCGAAGUUAAGCAAAUCCCUAAAAGAUACCUCAGUUCGGAUUGCACUCUGCAACUCGAGUGCAUGAAGCUGGAAUUACUAGUAAUCGUGGAAUCAGCGUGCCACGGUGAAUGCGUUCCCGGGUCU